GCAGCAUCUUCUUUCUGUCAUUUUAACGACGUAAUUGUGCAAAACUGUUUUAAAAAUCACGAGUUUGAUUGACUGUCAUCACACUGAGGAACUGAGCUCAGAUUUAUCUUCGUAAACAAUUGAACAUCCAACUUUUAAAAGGGCCCCUAACGGGACCCUUCUGCUGAAGGCCUCGCCAGAAGCUCAGGCUGUGGGGCCCCGGCAGGCCGGCUACAGGGCCAGACCAGCGCAGGAGGUGGAGGAGGAGGCCCGGGCCCACGUCGUCUCCGAGGGUGGCGACGUCACCAACGCCACCCUGGUGCUGAGCCGGUGGAGGGUCCAGUUCGGCCGUUACCAGGGCCAGACCUUCCACUGGCUCCUGGAGAACGACGUGGGCUACGCCGUUAAUCUGGUUUCCUCUCACCAGAAGGAGCGAGAGAGGAUAGGGUCUCAGUCCCCGCUGAUGGCCAACAAGAUUCGUCAACUACCUGAGGAGGAAGGCGCCAGCUCCAGGCACGCAGAUGGAGAACGCCGUCUGCUACGUCAGAAGCCGAGACAGACAGAGGAGGAACCCUGCUGCUGCUGCUGCUGCUGCCACCACCGCUACCAGGACCUCCACCUCCUCCACCGUCAGCAGCAGCUCUGCCUCUGUCUCGGCUUCGACGCAGGGUCCCAGAGCUGCAUCCCAAUUUGCAGCCUUUGUCUCUGGCCGGCGUUCUCUGUCUGCGGUGGAAAUGCAGGCAAAGAUAAAGAAGCUGGUGGUGUCUAAGCCUGCAUUUCCAGCCUCCUCCAGACCAGCUCUUUCCUCAAAACCACCCGAGGACCCCACGGAUGAAGAGCUGGUCCAGGCAGUAGUUGACGUAGAGGAGUAAGAACUGGAAACCAAACACCUCAGCAGUACAGGCCCCUCUCUCACUCCUCCCUCCUCCUCCACCUCCUGUUACCUCCUCCCCGCCACGGGGGCAACAUGGAGACACUGCAGGGCCAGAGGAGCCCACUGAUGAGGAGAUGCUGGAGGCCUCACAGGAGCCUCAUGCUCCUCUGGCCCAGGCUCCACCACCAGCCCAGGCUCCACCUCUGGUGGCCCCAGCGGCCCAGGCUCCACCACCAGCCCAGGCUCCACCACCAGCCCAGGCUCCACCACGGGUCCAGGCUCCACCAGCGGUCCAGGCUCCACCACCACCUGCACUUACGGAGCAGAUGGCUGCCCCACCACCUCCUCCACCUGCUGGCAGUGCUGAGCUGCUCCCUGACUCCUGGAGAGCAGCUCUCACUGCAGAGCAGCAGCAGUGGAUCGGCCGGGUGCUGUUUUCCAGGGACAGCUCGGGGAGGCCACGGCUCAUCGGAGACCUGAACCUCUGGUGGUACCUUCCCCAGACCCGGCCGGUCUACAGUCAGCCUCCCGCGUCCCCCGACCCCUUCUUCACAUGUCGGCUGUUCCUGUGGAUGCCACACAGGAUCUGGCGUCUGCAGCUGACAUGCCCCCAGCCUUCAUGCACAGGGUCCAUGAUGAAGGCUGGGCUGUACAGGACCAUCCGGAGGGUCCUGGACAUCGACGGCUGGUAUCUCAUGGCCACUGAGUACCUAGAGUGCCAUCGAUGUAAGAAGAAGGUCGGAGGCUGGUCACAGGGCAUCAUCAGGCAGCUGCCUCACACCUACAGCUGCCAAUUUCCUGCUGUACUCACGUACAGGUUGUCCUGUGACCUGAGGGUGGUUGCACAGCUGAAGUCCCGCACUCUUGGCAACAGUGCCACUCAGCUGUGCAACACCCUGCGGGAGACCCACGCUGACUCCUGGAUGCGGAGAGCGAUCCACUACCUCGGCGUGUGCGAGCAGUUCCUGGCCUUGUGCUCCGUGAGGGGGCCGUUUCCACCACCGCCCCAGAUGCCCCCUCUGCCGUCAGCUGAGUGGCUGCUGACGGUCUACGGCUAUGACGUCCUGAUGCGGCUGGAGGAGGGAUCACGUCCACCUUUGGAUCCAUCUUGAAGAUGGAUUCAACCAAGAAGGUGACGAAGAAGCUUGCAGGUAUCGCCUCGGACACGGCCGUGUGGGUUACCAACGUCGGUAACGAGCAUGGGCAGGUCCUCAUCAGUGUCCUCACCUCCUCAGAGGGCUCCGAGGGCCUGUCCUGCAUGGCGGCCGGAUUGAUGAGGCGAUACCAGCACGCCGGGGUAGCUCCCCCCCAGCUCAUCUACGUCGACCGUGACUGCUGCAGCCGAGACGGCGUGUCCAAGACAGCUGCCUUAUUUCCAGAGUGGGGAAAGCUGCUGGUGAGGCUGGACAUCUGGCACCUGAUGCGGCGCUUCGCAUCAGGUGUCACCACUGAGUCUCACCAGCUCUACCCCACUUUCAUGAGGCAGCUGUCUCAUUGCAUCUUCGAGGUGGACUCUGGAGAUGCCUGCCGUCUCGCUGAGGCCAAGCGGUCCGAGCUGGAUGGGAAGCACGGGGUGGUCGGCCUGACGGACGCCGAGGUGAUCCGGAGGAUCUCCAAGGAGGAGUGGAGGCUCCACUGUCGUCGGCGGACGCGUUGGGCCGAGGAGACCGCACUCCUCAUCAACGACCUCCUGGACACCUUCGGCGGUCCGGCCGGACGCGACACCCUGGACAUCCCGCUGCUAGACGCUCUCCGCAUCCAGGACAUCUGGAAGACGCAGAGACGCCACCUCAGCUGCAUUCAGGACCCACCGGGGGUGCAGCUGUACACCCAGACCGGCAGGCUGACAAAGGGCGGGGUCAGCCUGCCAGUUUAUCGCUGCGCCAGGGGCUCCACGUCCCUGGAGUCCUUCCACCUCCACCGGUUCAUCCCAGGUAACAGUGCCAGCGCCAAAUACUUCCAGGCGUUCCUGGUUGAUGGACUGGUGAGGUGGAAUGAGGACAGAGCAGCAGCAGCUGCACCUCCGGUUGCAGCUGAGGAGCAAGUGGCGUCUCUGCGCUCCUACUGUGGCCACCUCAAGCACAUCCUGAACCAGAAGAGCCAACGGGUGCUUGGCCUUCACAUGGUUCAGGACUUCACCAGGCCUGCUGCGUACACAGGUGAGCUCAUCGGGGUGGAGUACCUGUACCAGCAGACCGGACGUGUGCUUGAGGAUGUCAGUCUGGACCCUGACGCUCCGGACGAGGCUGCUGCCAUCCAGGCGCUGGAGGAGGCGGAUGAGGGGUUCGAGGACGACGUCGGGGACCCCACGGUCUUCGAGCCAGAGCCCCCCGCCGCCAUCACAGCGGCAGCAGCCCGGUCAGGUGAUCCAGCUGACGCACCCAGGUCUGAGCCAUCCUGUCUGGCCGCCCCUGACCAGGACGCCCCUCCUGAGGCCCCUGAAGGACCAACUCCGGCUGCCCCACACUCCUCCGACUCUGAGGAGGAGAUCCAGUGUGUCCUGAAGCUGGCCCAGGCCCUGGUGGAGAUCCGGAACCUUCAGGGGCUCUCUGACAGCAGGGUAGACAGGCUCAUUGCACUCUGGCAACGCCUGCCAGAGUGUGACAAGCGCCGAGUCGUCUACCCUGCCAGACACCAGGAGAGGCAGCCCACGGGGCGGUUCAAGGCAGCGAAGGGGAAGAACACCUCCUGUCCUGGAAAGGAGAGUCUCUAAAGCUGCCUGCUCGGACAGAACGCGGGCCCUGCAAACUGGCCCAGCGCCAGUCGCCUGGUCGAGGCCGCUUGCAGCCAGCUCUGCCGUCUCCACCCAGCCACAGCCCGUGUCGGUGGGGUCCCAAAGACCCGGUGGUCCCUGGUCCUCACCGACUACGUGGCCAUCAGAGAGGCAGUGCUGGUGUGCCCGCGUCUGAUGGCUCAGACCACCAUCCAGCUCUUUGAGCUGAAUCAGAGGACCCUGUCUCAGUGGUUCUCACGUCAUCAGAAGGCCUGGGAGAGGACUGUGCUGGAGCAGGGAACUGGCAUCGUCUCUGCUCCAGCAGUAGCAGAUGAGCCUCUCCCUGCUGCCAAAGGGCUGUCCCUGGUGCAGGUGGGACAGGGACAGCCAUUCGUGUUCCCUGGACCUGAGGAGCAGCCUGGACCAUCAGCUGGAGGUCAGCCAGCCCCUCCUCCUCCUCCUCCUCCGCCGCCUCAUCAGCAUCCUCCUCCUCCUCCGCCGCCUCAUCAGCAUCCUCCAGCCAUCGGCUCUGCUCCUGCAGCCGCUCCUCUUCCUGGACUGACUCGGCUGCCGAGGACGACGGCUUACAGGAAGAGGAAGGCAGCCGAGGCGGCUGCUGCGGCUGCUGCUGCGGGAGAGGGCCCUCCACCAGGGACUAAAGCCCGCCGGCAGACUGCACAGUACACCUGCAGUAAGUGUGGCCAGCUCAAACGGCUGGACACUGGCCACACACGCAUUGCGGGUGUGUCGUACUGUGCAGCUGUCGGCGGGAUGACUGUAGAGGAGUGGAGGGAGAAUAUGAGGAGGCCUCCAGAGGAGAAAGGGGACUAAAAUUUUUUUUUUCAUUAAAAUUAUUUUUGGUUAAAUACAUGUUAAGAUAUAUAUAUAUAUAUAUAUAUAUAUAUAUAUAUAUAUAUAUAUAUAUAUAUAUAUAUAUAUAUAAAUAAAAAUAAAAAUAGAAUUUAUUAAAUAAAGAGAAUGUCAUCUGCA
ensembl:lncRNA